UCACAUAUGAUCAUCAAAACUCUAUCAAAUGUUGCAUAGUUAGUGGUUUAGUUGCUAAACAAUUGUUGAUCAAAACAAUUGGAUUACAAAAUGCCAUGUUCUUAACCAAAUUAGCAUUAUUGGUUGCUCCAUAACUGGAUUGAUUUCUAGGCCAUAUAGAUCUAAAAUUAAAUAUAUUGCAUAUAAAAGUCAUCUGUUGCCAACAGCUUAAUAAGAAAUUUCUAGAUAUUAGAAAGUUAUAAAUCAAUAACUUAUUUUAAUAAUGUACAUAGUUUUUUAAUGACCUUCAUUGUGGUGAAAUUUAAGGAAUGUUUUCCUCAAAUGUUCACUUGAGUCAGUCUUUCUUUUCCUGAGCCCUUAUUUCUACUAGUCAUUGACUCAUGUGAGAAACUUGGGUUCAAUAAAAAAAAAAUCAACAACUAAUAAAAAAAGUAUUUUUGAGUAUCAAAUAUGUACAGAAUAUUCUUCUGGAUAUUGUAGAAAUGGAGGAGAAAAAAUAAAAAAUCUGUCCUGAUGGAAUACGAUCUAAUGGUCGAGAAAAUUUUUAUAUGCUUGAGAUGAUUUAAUUAAAAAUAUACAGCUGAAAGUAUGUUCAAAUGUUUAGCAAUUAUGUAACAUUAAAAAUGAAGAGGCCUCUAUGAACAGUUAAGGACAGGGAGGAAUGAUACAUAAACAUGACCUUAAAGGAUGAGUGGAGGGGUUCUCAGGUUAUUUUGAAGGGGAGUAGGGGCAGAGAGGCAAAUAGCCUGCCUUACGUGAAAUGUUGUGUUACGGAAUAAGGGAGAGAAAGAUUUGGUUAGAAAGGUAAACUGUAGUUUAUUGAAGUACAACUUUCAUGCAGUCAAAUCUGGCAGACUUUCCUACACAUUUUUUAUUAGUUUGACAAUCCCAACACUAUUGUCUAGAAUUUAGAUUUACUUUGGAAAAUGUAAAACAGAAAAAGUAAAUUACAUCACCGAUAUGUUUGGAAAAAGUAACAAUUUCCAGUGGAAUACUGUAUGAAUCAAUCAUAAAUAGAAAAAAAUUUAACUUUUACUGCAUUGUUAAAUGCCAUUAUGCAAAAGCCUCUGUACAUAAAGUAAUUUUAUAUGCAUAAAAAUAAUUUUGGUAGUAACAUUCAUCUUUCAGGUAGAGCUUCCAAAAACUUUUAUGGAGAGAAUAUUCCCCGCUGCCUAAGAUCCCUGCCUCCUAAACACAGGAGUGUCUAAAAGCAGUGGUGAUUCUAGAAUCUUUUGAAAUCUAAAAAUGUAUAAUAUAUUUAAAAUUUUCUCUGAUAUGGUGAUUUGAAGCUGCAAAGUGCUAGGCACCAAUAUAUCUUUAAAAUACAUGUGGUUGCAUCUAGAUGGCCAACUGUCUCUACAUACAGUAACAUAAAAGUUGGCCCUGGCUGAAUGAAAUAUUCUAACUUGGGAAUGUGUAGAUGGAUUUGUGUGUGUGUGUGUGUGUGUGUGUGUGUGUGUGUGUUCAUGUAGCCUGUCUUUCUGCAUGUGGUUUUAUGUUAUUUUACUAUGGACCUUUAAAAAGAAAGAAGAGCUCAAGACAUAAUGUAUUACUUUUUAAAACUGCAGGCACAGCAUUCUGGACAUGAGACUGACAGCUGCCAAGAGGCAAAAUUUCAAUCAUACACGAUCUCCAAUGUGUCCUUGGAUAGUACUUAGAAUUUUUUCAUUACUUCACCAUUAGUAAACCAGAAUAUUACUGCCUUGCCAGUUCCUUCAUAAAGAUGUUGACAACAUAAUUUCUUUAAUAGCUACUUAACAUAUUAAGUAUAAUUGAGAUAGAAAUACAAUGUUAGGUAUCCAAUCUAUUAAAUCUUUAUUUCCCAAAGAAAGAAAAUAUGCAGCUAAAAUAAACUCCAUGUCAGACUUUCUAGAAAACAUCAAAUUACCAGGGCAAUGCAAUCAGAGUUAGGGUAAAUCAUUUAUUUACAAAUGUUGUCAGGGUAACAGAAAUUACUCAUGAAAUCACCGAAGGAUUGAAGACAAGGUACAGAUAGUCUAUGGAGCUAUUUGUUCUUUCAUAGCAUAUUAGAAUAAAGUGUCCACAUAUAUUUAAAACCUUAAUAGUUAUGUGAAGUCUGUGAGUAUUCAUUAAAUAUAUGGCCACAAAGCGAUUCAAAUAUUGAGAGUAUUCUUAAAUAUCAAAAGAUAUGAUUCUCCAUUUCUUGCCUCUCAGAAUGUCAUUGGGACACUUUAUUUUGCUUUAAAGAUUGACUUUGCUAGAUUAGCUCUGGAGAACCUCCUUAUUUCUACCAAGGUGUGAUGUCUGCAACUUAGGAUCCUGGUUAAUGGUGUAGACUAGCCUGAGUUUUAUAGAUCAACUAACUAGGAUAUACUAGAAAUGGGGUUGGAUAACAGAAAGAAAAAGAAAAACUACAUAUGUAGUUUUCUCUUAUGUGUGUGUGCCUGUAUGUGUAUGAGUGAAUCAGGUGUGCUUUGAAAAAGACCUGUAUUAUAUUAGUUUCAUCAACAAUUAUAAAAUAUCAUACAGUUUAGAGUUAUAUUUUCCAAAGUUGUAGCACGGAUACAAGUAAAAUACCUUGAAACUUGUCUACUGUCUAAGAAGAAUAUUUGUUAAAAGUAGGAAUUAGGCCAGGCAUGGUGGCUUAAGUCUGUAAUCCUAUCCCUUUGGGAGGCUGAGGUGGGAGGAUGCCUUGAGACUAGGUGUCUGAAACCAUCGUGAGUAACAUAGUGACACCCUGUAUCUACAAAAAAAAAAA